UUUUGAACUUUUAGUUUUCGGUGCUGUUCUACUUUGUACUUGUUUUGGCUUUCAAACUUUUGUAUCUGGGCUUCACUAGUAAGUCUUGUGUGGACGAAACGCACUUCUGGCGUAUUAAAUUUUAAACCUGGUGCCUUUUGUUAGCUAUUAAUCGUGUGUUUCUUUAUCAAAUAUGUUCUCCUAUUUAUUUGUAUUGUAGUCCUGUAAUGCUGUGUUGUCAUUUUUAUGUUAUAUUUAACAUGGUCAUUAAAGCGGGAGGUUUGGCAUGCCAAAAAA
rnacentral:lncRNA from 1 species